rnacentral:misc_RNA from 1 species
ACUGAGAACGGCACCAUGAGGCGAUCUGCUUGCUGGAAGUAUUUACCCCACGAGAUCUUUGGAUUCGAAUCGACGCCCAGCCUCGCGAUCGUCCGAAUGAGGGCGGUAUAUUGGACCCACGGCAUCGCGGAGUAGAUGAUUAUGUCGUCUCUGCCAGCCACGUACUCGAGACCGUGGCCGUCGCCCUGAACGGCUAUGCGAUGCUUCGCGUUCUCGGCGAAGCGCCGAAUGUCAUCGACGCAAUCUGUCGUUAUGUGAACGAAUCGAUCAGUGCCGUCGGGCAGAUACGUGAAACUCGGGACUAUCUUCUCAUGGACAAUAGGUCUGCCUUCACGUAUCCGAUAUCUGAAGUUCUCUAUCGAUUUAGCCGCGUGAUGAGCAACAAAUACCAGGGCUAUAUAAGAAGAGAUUCCGCUGUCUUUCGAGAAUUCAACAAGCCGAGUGACAUCGAUGCUCGCCGUUAGUAUGAUGUAGGGAAAGUCGUAACUGCGAUACAUCUCAAAGUAGUCUCUUCUUUCCCAACUGUCGCAAUCGAGGUAACGCAAGAACUCUCUCCCAUCCGCGCAUCUUCCACGCGUUGUCAGGCCACGGGCCGCGGUAGCGCUUGUCCGCCAGGAUACAUCACCACUUCUUCCCCAGAUCCAGUGUGGCGUGAGCGUCGGUGGGCAGAUGCGGGAAGACCUCAUCAUAGUUCUGCCGAUCCUGCAUCCCCUUGGUCCAGUCCCGCCGACCCGAUCGGUCCAACCGCGAAACGUCCUUCAUAGUGGGUACGCCCACCUCGGCCCCGCCUGCAUGAAUGAAUUGGAAACUGUGCCCAGGGAUGCAGGUUCCCACCGGCGUCCGCGUCAUCCCGCCAGGAAGCUGAUGAUCUCUCGCGUGAAGGACGGGAGAUCGGGGGGGAUCCGAGAAGUGAUGACGUUCCGGUCCCGCACAACUUCCUCGUCGACCCACUCUGCCCCGGCGUUGACCAAGUCGUCGCGAAUGGGCUGGCACCCCGUCACCUUGCAACCCUGCACGACACCCGCUGACGCCAGCAUCCAGCCACCAUGACAGAUGGCUGCGACAAGCUUCCCUCCUCGCCAAGCCUCCCGGACCAAACCGACCAUUGCUGGAAACGUUCGCAUAUGGUCCGGGGCAUAACCGCCCGGAACAAUCACCGCGUCGAAGUCACUCGCGCGCACUUCCGAAGCUGACACGUCUGCGUCCAUGGCGUAUCCGAGUUUGCUGUGGUAGGUCGUCUUCGUCCCGCUUCCGACGACUACCACCUCCGCGCCCUCUUCUUCAAGCCUUAGCCUUGGGUACCAGGCCUCGAGUUCUUGGUAGUCGUCCUCAAUCAUGAGAGCCACUCGUUUUCCC